rnacentral:lncRNA from 1 species
CUUUUUCUUUCUUUUUAAUUAUUAAAUCUGAGGUUUUAAUAGAUCUGCAACGGGACGAUGGUGGCCAAUUCAGAUGCCCUUGUGCGGCGGGUCGAUGUCCCUGACUCGCCUUGGCCGGGGAAGUGGCGAUUGCAUCACGGAAGGGUUGGCGAGAUGUGUGCCUGCAUAUGUAUUUUCGUUGUUUUUAUAGCAGUGGCUAGGGCUGGUUAUGAUGAAUUCAUGGUAUGUGUGCGUUUAGUUGCGUAUACGGCGAGACGGCCGACGGCGGCUGGUAUACGAUUGCUAGUGAUGCUGGGGUUCCAAAUUGCAAAAGUAGGGUUUUGAAAAUGACUCUAGUUGUCUACAAGUGUCUAACGACGUUAUGAAUCGAAGAAUCGACUGUUAUUGAAAGCUUUUUUUAAUGUUAAAAAGAACAUUUUUGUGGCUAAUUUGACCGCUAGAGUUUGGCGGCAGCUGCGUUUGGCUGCGAGUGUUGAUGACGGCUGGGGGUUAUUGGCGACUAGGGUUUGAUAGUACUUCAUAGUAAAACAUAGUAUACAUAGUAUACAAUAGUACUAUACUAUAAUAUAUUGUGAUAUACUAUACUCUACUACAUAAAAAUAUGUAUAUUAUACUAUACUCUACUACAUAAAAAUAUGUAUAUUCGAUUAAAAAAUGAAAAAAAAGCAUGCUUUUGUUUUUGUAAUAAUAAUAUAAUAUUAUGUAGAAAAGAAAAA